rnacentral:rRNA from 1 species
AGAGUUUGAUCAUGGCUCAGAUUGAACGCUGGCGGCAGGCUUAACACAUGCAAGUCGAGCGGGGAAGGGUAGCUUGCUACCUGACCUAGCGGCGGACGGGUGAGUAAUGCUUAGGAAUCUGCCUAUUAGUGGGGGACAACAUUCCGAAAGGAAUGCUAAUACCGCAUACGCCCUACGGGGGAAAGCAGGGGAUCUUCGGACCUUGCGCUAAUAGAUGAGCCUAAGUCAGAUUAGCUAGUUGGUGGGGUAAAGGCCUACCAAGGCGACGAUCUGUAGCGGGUCUGAGAGGAUGAUCCGCCACACUGGGACUGAGACACGGCCCAGACUCCUACGGGAGGCAGCAGUGGGGAAUAUUGGACAAUGGGCGCAAGCCUGAUCCAGCCAUGCCGCGUGUGUGAAGAAGGCCUUUUGGUUGUAAAGCACUUUAAGCGAGGAGGAGGCUACCGAGAUUAAUACUCUUGGAUAGUGGACGUUACUCGCAGAAUAAGCACCGGCUAACUCUGUGCCAGCAGCCGCGGUAAUACAGAGGGUGCGAGCGUUAAUCGGAUUUACUGGGCGUAAAGCGUGCGUAGGCGGCUUUUUAAGUCGGAUGUGAAAUCCCUGAGCUUAACUUAGGAAUUGCAUUCGAUACUGGGAAGCUAGAGUAUGGGAGAGGAUGGUAGAAUUCCAGGUGUAGCGGUGAAAUGCGUAGAGAUCUGGAGGAAUACCGAUGGCGAAGGCAGCCAUCUGGCCUAAUACUGACGCUGAGGUACGAAAGCAUGGGGAGCAAACAGGAUUAGAUACCCUGGUAGUCC